CUACGGUGAAUACGUUCCCGGACCUUGCACACACCGCCCGUCAAGCCAUGGAAGCCGGGUGUACCUAAAGUCGAUAACCGUAAGGAGUCGCCUAGGGUAAAACUAGUAACUGGGGCU
rnacentral:rRNA from 1 species